UACGGAAGGCAGCAGUGGGGAAUAUUGCACAAUGGGCGAAAGCCUGAUGCAGCUAUGCCGCGUGUAUGAAGAAGGCCUUAGGGUUGUAAAGUACUUUCAUCGGGGAGGAAAAAACAAAACUAAUAAUUUUAUUUCUUGACGUUACCCGAAAAAGAAGCACCGGCUAACUCCGUGCCAGCAGCCGCGGUAAUACGGAGGGUGCUAGCGUUAAUCAGAAUUACUGGGCGUAAAGAGCACGUAAGUGGUUUUUUUAAGUCAGAUGUGAAAUCCCUGGGCUUAACCUAGGAACUGCAUUUUGAAACUGAAAUACUAGAGUAUCGUAGAGGGAGGUAGAAUUCUAGGUGUAGCGGUGAAAUGCGUAGAUAUCUGGAGGAAUACCUGUGGCGAAAGCGGCCUCCUAAACGAAUACUGACACUGAGGUGCGAAAGCGUGGGGAGCAAACAGGGAUUAGAUACCCGU
rnacentral:rRNA from 1 species